rnacentral:rRNA from 1 species
CUUUUAACAAUGGAUCUCUUGGCUCUCAUAUCGAUGAAGAACACAGUGAAAUGUGGAUAAGUCAAUGUGAAUUGCAGAAUUCAGUGAAUCAUCAAAUCUUUGAACGCACCUUGCACCUUUUGGUAUUCCAAAAGGUAUACCUGUUUGAGUGUCAUGAAACCCUCUCA